rnacentral:rRNA from 1 species
UACGUAGGGGGCAAGCGUUGUCCGGAUUUAUUGGGCGUAAAGAGCGUGUAGGCGGCCUGACAGGUCUGCUGUGAAAACUCGAGGCUCAACCUCGAGAUGUCGGCGGAAACCGUCUGGCUAGAGUCCGGAAGAGGAGAGUGGAAUUCCUGGUGUAGCGGUGAAAUGCGCAGAUAUCAGGAGGAACACCGGUGGCGAAGGCGGGUCUCUGGGCCGUAACUGACGCUGAGGAGCGAAAGCGUGGGGAGCGAACAGG